AGUCUGUAAUGGUAGGAUGACUUUAGCUGGUCUAUAGUAUACAGUCUGUAAUGGUAGGAUGACUUCAGCUGGUCUACAGUAUACAGUCUGUAAUGGUAGGAGGACUUCAGCUGGUCUAUAGUAUACAGUCUGUAAUGGUAGGAUGACUUUAGCUGGUCUAUAGUAUACAGUCUGUAAUGGUAGGAUGACUUCAGCUAGUCUAUGUAUACAGUCUGUAAUGGUAGGAGGACUUUAGCUGGUCUACAGUAUACAGUCUGUAAUGGUAGGAGGACUUCAGCUGGUCUACAGUAUACAGUCUGUAAUGGUAGGAGGACUUCAGCUGGUCUAUAGUAUACAGUCUGUAAUGGUAGGAGGACUUUAGCUGGUCUACAGUAUACAGUCUGUAAUGGUAGGAGGACUUCAGCUGGUCUACAGUAUACAGUCUGUAAUGGUAGGAGGACUUCAGCUAGUCUAUAGUAUACAGUCUGUAAUGGUAGGAUGACUUCAGCUGGUCUAUAGUAUACAGUCUGUAAUGGUAGGAGGACUUCAGCUGGUCUACAGUAUACAGUCUGUAAUGGUAGGAUGACUUUACCUGGUCUAUAGUAUACAGUCUGUAAUGGUAGGAUGACUUCAGCUGGUCCAUAGUAUACAGUCUGUAAUGGUAGGAUGACUUCAGCUGGUCUAUAGUAUACAGUCUGUAAUGGUAGGAUGACUUCAGCUGGUCUACAGUAUACAGUCUGUAAUGGUAGGAGGACUUCAGCUGGUCUAUAGUAUACAGUCUGUAAUGGUAGGAUGACUUUAGCUGGUCUAUGUAUACAGUCUGUAAUGGUAGGAUGACUUCAGCUGGUCUAUAGUAUACAGUCUGUAAUGGUAGGAUGACUUUAGCUGGUCCAUAGUAUACAGUCUGUAAUGGUAGGAUGACUUCAGCUGGUCUAUAGUAUACAGUCUGUAAUGGUAGGAGGACUUCAGCUGGUCUACAGUAUACAGUCUGUAAUGGUAGGAUGACUUCAGCUGGUCUACAGUAUACAGUCUGUAAUGGUAGGAGGACUUCAGCUGGUCCAUAGUAUACAGUCUGUAAUGGUAAGAUGACUUUAGCUGGUCUACAGUAUACAGUCUGUAAUGGUAGGAGGACUUCAGCUGGUCCAUAGUAUACAGUCUGUAAUGGUAGGAUGACUUUAGCUGGUCUACAGUAUACAGUCUGUAAUGGUAGGAGGACUUCAGCUGGUCCAUAGUAUACAGUCUGUAAUGGUAGGAGGACUUCAGCUGGUCUACAGUAUACAGUCUGUAAUGGUAGGAUGACUUCAGCUGGUCUACAGUAUACAGUCUGUAAUGGUAGGAGGACUUCAGCUGGUCCAUAGUAUACAGUCUGUAAUGGUAAGAUGACUUUAGCUGGUCUACAGUAUACAGUCUGUAAUGGUAGGAGGACUUCAGCUGGUCCAUAGUAUACAGUCUGUAAUGGUAGGAUGACUUUAGCUGGUCUACAGUAUACAGUCUGUAAUGGUAGGAGGACUUCAGCUGGUCCAUAGUAUACAGUCUGUAAUGGUAGGAUGACUUCAGCUGGUCUACAGUAUACAGUCUGUAAUGGUAGGAAGACUUCAGCUGGUCUAUUUGAUCAUAUCUAGACAAAGCGUUCUGCUGUGAUCUACCCUGAAGGAGCAGAGUCAAGACUUGCCUUAUUCAUUCUUUAAUAAAUGGUUAAACAUAUUUGUACGAGGUGUUUCCUUUCUGAAGUAGUGAUUAUGUAGAAAACAUUUACUUGAGAAACAAACAUUCUUAGCCAGAGGUAGAGCUAGUUGCAAGAACGCUCGGGUCUCAAAGAGUUAAGUUGAAUAACAGGAUGUUAGUGUUGGACCUUGUCAUAUAAGGGCGAUGCUUUUUCUUCACGAGACACAACCCACAGUGAGACAUUCACAUGCAAACCAGGAGUCCGACCACAAUGGAGAUUGGUGACAUGAUUGAGCUCAACAGAGGUCAAUACAAACACUGGGCUCUGUACAUUGGACAUGGAAAGGUCAUCCAGUUGGUAUCUCCAGAUGGACCUUCAAAAGUAGCUUUCUGCAGUUUUAGCUCAUCCAGCGGCAGUGUUGCCUGUAAAGGCACGAUUACAAUAGAGACAUUACAGGAUGUGACAGCAGGGAAUCCUUACAAAAUCAACAACUACCUGGAUGACGAGUACAAAUCCAAGGAGGACUGACGUCAUUAUGGGGGAAGUGGACAAAAUGAGAGGCAGCACAAUAAAAUAUAACCUCCUUGGAAACAACUGCGAGCAUUUUGUUACUUUCCUCCGUUACGGCCAAUCAGAGUCCCAACAGGCAGAUGACUUCCUGAAUAAUGUGUUAGCUGGUACUGCAGGCGUGCUUGGUGUACUGAACUGCUGUUAAGGCUUUACAGCUGCUGCAGCAAGCACACUUAGUAAAUAAUUUCCUGGGUCAUUCAUGAGUCCAUGGAGAAUGUCAGUAAUGCAAAAUGCUGUGUAUUGCCUAAUGAACAAAGGACCAUCUCAAAGAC